AUAGCUGUUCCCAGCUGUAGAGGAAAUGGCAGCCCUGGGACCUGGGGGGAUGGAAGGCCAGUCCACGUCUCAGUGGGAAGAUGGCAGCAGCUCAGUGGCUCUUCGCAGUGAUGUGAUGACCUGUUUUUAAAUGUUUAACAGAAGCCAAACUUGGCUUUUAGGGGACAGCUCUCCUGCCAGCCAGUCAGCUUGCCAAAGGCAUCUUUCCUGUGCACAGAGAGCACACUGGGCUUGGAGACAUUCUCCGCACAGUGGGAUUUGGUGAGAAUCUUAAAGGUUUCUGUUCAAGGUCAGUUUGGUUGCUUUCUAUGCCCAGUGUCUCUCAAAGACUGUGGCAUCAAGGGACCUGCUGGUAUCCUACUCGAUGGGGCUGAACAGGAGAUAUAUUCCACACUUCACAAUUGCCACCUUUCGGGAGCAGCUUCUCCAGUUACCUCCAACUCCAGCCAGACCCAAUUCAGAGCUGCGGUCAGCUCAGACCUUUGCCUGCUCUUGGCAACACGUCCGCCUGUCCUGCUCCUCUGCAAUCUGCCCCUCUUUUUCUUCAUGUGCUGUGAAGGCAUCAUGUGGAUGGGGGUUCAACUCCUGGAUUGGGGAUGCACAGAGCCUGGGGGACACACUUUGCAAACCUGCACCUUGCACUUUUGAGUUCUGGUCUGCAAGGUCUACUUUAUUCUUUUGGACCAAGGCUGUCCGUGGGAGAGGGCAGCCGCCGGCCUGUCAGAGCAAAUCAGCCUCAGGCGGUUUCUGCGGCUCUGGUAUUUGAGCUUUGUUUUCCCUCUCUCCCGGGAAGAACUCGUUGAAAUAGUUUCUCUGGGAAAGACAAAGCAUCUCGCCCAGAUGCUGAAGGAUCACUUGGUACCUGCCUGUCUUGGCUUCCCAUUGUGCCGGUGAAGGCGCAUCCGCUCUAAAGCUGACCUGUGGUUCUGUCUCCAAACAGCUAACUCAGACAUCACCCUCUUGCAGCCAGCCGCACAGCCUGAGUUGGAGUUCUGGCCUCUCCUGGCAGUGAGUGACAGUGUUGGAGGGGCCUUGGACACCUUGGGUAAUUGCCAACUAAAAAUGAGCAGCUGGGGGAAGGUCUUCUGGUCCACGGGAGAGCCAACAGGGCAUUUCCUCUUCUGUUUUCUAGUCAGGGUAGAAAGCUAGAAAGAAUCCUAAAACUCACUAUCCAAGUCCCCAUUGUGUGGCGACAGAGGCCUGUCCUGAAGCCUGGGCUGGAGGGUUUAGUCCGAAGCAGAAGCGGGGAUUCGGCAUGAGAGGGUUCCUGCUAACUUCACCAAGCUGGUGCUGUGCGGGAUGACGAAAAUCAAGCCUGUCUUCCAGUGGGGCCCUGGGGCGGGAGGCGGGGGUAGGGGGUACUGGGGGAGGGGGUGGCAGCUCCUUUAUCAGCUGUCCCCAGCAGGGGCCCUUCUCCCAGUCACCGCAGACCAAAGUCAGCUCCUCCUGGGGGCUCCAACCUGUCUGUUCACUGUUUGCCUUGCGCCUUUUCCUGCUGAGGCCACCCCCAGCACCAUCUCAGGCCUCAGAAGGACCACCUCACUGAAAGAGCCCUGAGGGUGGGAAAGAAGCAAGCCCUCCGCACCCCGUCCCAGUCUCUCAUCUGGAGCACACACAGAUGCCCGGGCCCCGUCCCCGCGCCAGAAUGGCCGCUCGCGUUUCCCGGUACGAUGCCACUUUCCGUGAGUGCACAGAGAGCCCCUGGGCUGAGCUGGGGGCCGAGCUCCACGCUCUCUGAGCAGCUCUGAGCUGCACGCCAAGGAAGGUCUUUCAGAUGGGCUCUGGGAUGUGGAACAUGGCGUCCAGCCCCAGUGUCCACCCCACGCUCGAGGCACCCUGACUUCCCCCACCUUCUUACCUGAGUGUCAGCUUACUUCCAUCUGGGGACUGAAUAUGGGGCAGAUUCCAGAAAAAGGAGGUUGGGGCACCAACACCAACACCAACUCUGCCAAUGGAGCCAGCAUAGCUAUUUGUCUUCAACCACAGACAGCAGGGGAAGCUCACGGGCUCUGCAUCCCCGGCCCCGGAUGUAAGGAUAUUGCCCGUUAGACAAAGGGAAGGCCUCGACUCCACAACUUAUGUUUGUGAGCUUAACCUUUGGAAAAGGCCCAGGUUCUCCCACCAUGUACAGCUGCCGUUGACCUGGACAGUCCUGCAGGGCCCUUCAGUGGAAACCCAGAAGGGGGUCACUGGCCCUGGAGGUCAAAGUUGCUCUAGGUGACAGGCAACCAAGACUAAAGGCAAACUUGAAACAUAAAUGAGUUAAAGCCCACAAAAAUAAGACAGUUUUAAAUAA